AACGUAGGAGGCGAGCGUUAUCCGGAUUCACUGGGCGUAAAGCGCGCGUAGGCGGUUCGUUAAGUCGGACGUGAAAGCCCCUGGCUCAACUGGGGGAGGUCGUUCGAAACUGGCGGGCUUGAGGGUGAGAGAGGAGAGUGGAAUUCCCGGUGUAGCGGUGGAAUGCGUAGAGAUCGGGAGGAACACCAGUGGCGAAGGCGGCUCUCUGGCUCACGCCUGACGCUGAGAGUGCGAAAGCGUGGGGAGCGAA
rnacentral:rRNA from 1 species